GCCAGGCAUGGUGGCUCAUGCCUAUAGUCCUAGCUUCUCGGGAGGCUGAGACAGGAGGAUUACUUGAGCCCAGGAGUUUAAGGCUACAGUGAACUAUAAUAGCACCACUGCUCUCCAGCCUGGGCAACAGAGCAAGACCCUGUCUCUA
ensembl:misc_RNA Metazoa_SRP Metazoan signal recognition particle RNA